UACGUAGGUGGCAAGCGUUGUCCGGAUUUAUUGGGUUUAAAGGGUGCGUAGGUGGUCUAUUAAGUCAGUGCUGAAAUAUCCCGGCUUAACCGGGAGGGUGGCAUUGAUACUGAUGGACUUGAGUAAAGUUGAGGUGGGCGGAAUUGACGGUGUAGCGGUGAAAUGCGUAGAGAUGUGGAGGAACACCAGUGGCGAAGGCGGCUUUCUGGUCUGUAACUGACGCUGAGGCGCGAAAGCGUGGGGAGCAAACAGG
rnacentral:rRNA from 1 species